UUGAGCGGAGAUAUAUGGAGCUUGCUUUAUAUAACUUAGCAGCGAACGGGUGAGUAACACGUAGAUAAUCUAUCCUAUACUGGGGGAUAGCCCGAUGAAAGUUGGAUUAAUACCGCAUAUAGCUAUAUAGUUGCAUGAUUAUGUAGUGAAAGAUUUAUUGGUAUAGGAGGAGUCUGCGGCACAUUAGCUAGUAGGUGAGGUAAAGGCUUACCUAGGCGACGAUGUGUAGCCGGUCUGAGAGGAUGAACGGCCACAAUGGAACUGAGACACGGUCCAUACUCCUACGGGAGGCAGCAGUGGGGAAUAUUGCACAAUGGGGGAAACCCUGAUGCAGCAACGCCGCGUGAGUGAAGAAGGUUUUCGGAUUGUAAAGCUCUGUUAGCAGGGAAGAGGAAGGACGGUACCUGCAGAGGAAGCCACGGCUAACUACGUGCCAGCAGCCGCGGUAAUACGUAGGUGGCAAGCGUUGUUCGGAAUAACUGGGCGUAAAGGAUGCGUAGGCGGUUAAACAAGUUAUAUGUUAAAUAUAUAGGCUUAACCUGUAGAAAGCAUAUAAAACUGUUUAACUAGAGUGCAGGAGAGGUAAGUGGAAUUCCUAGUGUAGCGGUGAAAUGCGUAGAGAUUAGGAAGAACACCAGUGGCGAAGGCGACUUACUGGACUGUAACUGACGCUGAGGCAUGAGAGCAUGGGGAGCAAACAGGAUUAGAUACCCUGGUAGUCCAUGCUGUNAACGAUGGGUACUAGGNGUGGGUUGUGAAUAACAAUUCGUGCCGUCGCAAACGCAAU
rnacentral:rRNA from 1 species